UGUAUAUUGCACUGUUUUUAACUUGUGGACAAAGACUUAUGGAUAAAUGCAAAAAAUAAAUCCUUUUGCAACCUAGAACUCAUUGUUCAGUAUGAGUUUUGAUACACAUAAGAAGGAAUAUU
ensembl:snoRNA